rnacentral:lncRNA from 10 species
ACCUGCCCAGCACAAGGGGCUUGAGACCUUGGCCCCAAUCUCCCUGACAACCUGUGUCUCGAUGACUUCCCUUCCUUUUCUCCCCCAUGCUUUUGGUGUAACCAGGAAGAAGCCAGAAGAAUCGAAAACACAUUCCUUUUUUGGCAGUUUAAUAUAAUUUAUUAACUUAUCAGGCCAUUCCAUCCCAAAAUAUGAUUUGACCAGCUUUAAGAGAUGUACAUAACAGCACAAAAAAAAAAAAAAUAACAGAAAAUGGGGAAGUGAAAGCAAAGCCAAAUAAAAUGAAGCCAGGGAUUGGUCCACAAAUUGCAAAACAAAAGGGCCUGUUCAGGUUUUAGAAUUGGACAUUAAAUCCCUGAGGCUCCUGAUGGACAAAAUUUAAUCCAUUUUAAUUUCACAGUCCCUAAGAGGGAAUUAAAAUCAAUUACAAAUGUCUCAUUUCCAUAAAUUAGUUGGUCGAGAAAGGUCCCUGGAGAUGACACCUGUGCUUCUCCAGGACACACCAACCGGGUUUAGCGUGAGCUCCUGCCCCUACUACUGAUGCUGGCGCUCCAGCCUAGCUGGCCUUACCUCUCCAUCUAUUUCUGGGAAACUUCAGGAACAGGGUUGGGUUGGCGACCUCAUACGUGGUCAUGAACAAGCCCUUUCCUCUCAAGUGCUGUCCACAGAGGGAUUCUCUCCUGCCUUGCCCCCUGGGUGAAGUCUGCAGUGGAGGGUUUCAAAGUGUCUCACCACCACUUCCUGCUGGUCCCCAGUGCCUAUAAAUAUGCGGAAGCUUCUCUGUGGUCCACGAAUCCCCCCAAAGCACUGAAGCCAAGUGUGUUCUAUGUGGAAGGAGAAGACUCCUUUCUCCUUUGUGCCACAUUUGUCACCUGCCACCAAGUUAGGGCUCCCUGAGCCCCAGUGACUCGAGAUUCUAGUAGUCACAACUCUGCCAGCCUGGGCCUGUGGCUCCUCUCCUGCUUGGGCUCAGAUACAUCUGUCAUGCUGCUCCAGGACCAGCUUAGAGACUGAUUCUUGUUUUCCUGAUCCCCCUUCCCGUGGCCCUCGCCCUCUAGGGGGCACAAUUUUUAUGGGAUAUUUUUCUACAAUGAAAAUGUAAAAAAAAAAAAAAAAGUGACUUUAGAAAUAAGUAUCAUGUAAUAGCAGGCAUGAUCAGAAGCAUCUUUACACACAAAAAGAAUCACCAACAGCGCCCUCAUUAGAAAAUCAAUGUCUAUGUGACUCCCUAGUCGACUAUAGCAUGUUUAGGUAAAAUUAUCUAAUUGUAUUCUUCUUUUUACUCUUCUAAUGCUCUUGACUUAACCAAGUGGCUCUUAAAACAAAGAAGCUCUCAGCUUUGAGAAGUGGGGGAACCAAACACACACUGAAAAGAACUGGGACCUCUCAAACUCUCUGUCUCUUCCUCCAAGCAGCAUAAAAUGGGGUUACUGGGGUGCAGGCUCCUGUAGGGUUCCUAACAGAGACUAGGUGAGAGAUGCGGCACACGGAGGUGAGGAGAAAGGUCACCCACUCAGCUGCAGCAUGGGGUGGGGGAAGCAACAAUAAGGUAAGGAAGGAACCUGCCUUUGCCCCCCGAAAACAUGCAUUUAUUUGGAGGUAAGUGCAGGCUUGCUGAAAGUCAGAGGGAGGGCAAAAUGAUGCUAAAGACAUGCUAGCAGUAAUAGUGAUGCUGGGAGUGUGAAGAAACAGCCAGGAGCUGUGGGGGAAAAGGAUCCAGUGUCUACCAUCCCAGGCCUCCAGGCCCAUUUCAACUCCCUCCUCUCCUGUAAAGCCUUCCCUGCACUCCCACUGCAUGGAACACUAACCCCUUGUAGCAGAUUGGGGCAGGGGCUUGAGAUUGGUGUUUGCUAUUAACAGGUGGGGGAGCUGAGCAAUGCCCAAAUGGAGGAUGGGAUCAAAACUGAGGUUAAGGGGAGCUUUGGGAGGCUGAGGUGGGAGGAUCGCUUGAGGCCAGGAGUUCAAGACCAGCCUGGGCAACACAAGACCCCCAUCUCCCCCCCAAAAAAAAUGGGGUAAGGGAAUAUUUUGAAUGAUUAAUUUUGACUUUAGAUAUUGACUUCAUUCAGAAAGAGACCUCUCAGGCAGCUGGGUAACUCCAGCCCAACUGGAAAUGCUCUUAGAAGGGAGAAAGUAUUGGCAGAACUGAGUCCAAGAUGAGUCCAAUGGGCAGGUCUCUCCAGGCACGUGCAGGGGAGGCUUGGAUGGGAGUCACUGAGUGUGUACAUCAAUGCACGUGCUGAAUGGGCAGGCCAAGAGCCCCAUGAUGGGUGAUGGUAGACACCGGGGCUUUGAGAUGCCCAGGAGUCACCCAAGCACAGCUGGUUGGCAGGCAGCUGGGAUCCUAAGAGGAGAGGCCACAGCAGGACACAGAUCUGGAAGUCAUUAGCAUCUACACAGAAGAAAAGAGAGAAAGAAAGGAAAAGAAAAAAAGAAGAGAAAGGGAAACAGAGUGAAUGAAGAAGCAAGCCUAGGACAGAACUCUGGAGUACAAAGACCCAGAACAGCCUGGGUGAGGCAAGUUCACCUGCAACACCCACACCCACUCCAGACAUCACUGCCUUCAUUACUUCAAAACUGCACCCCUGUCCCCAAAGGGUGUUACUCCCCUACAGAAAGUGACUCAAUUCUUUUCUGCAGCCCGAAAGCAGAGAGCUAUCCCCACUGGGGGCCCCAGAACAAGAUGAGGCAGGACGGACUACCCAGAGCGCCUGACUACAUUAUUUAGCAUGGAGGGACCCUAGCUGCUUUACUCGGCUUCUGGGAGGAGGCUACAGUGGACAAUAAGGCCAAGGCAGCCAUGACCAUGAGUUCAGCUGCUGAGGUCAAGGCCUUAGAAAAAACCGAGUAUCUGAAAAAGUCUUGGCCCCUCCUUUCCCUGCCCCUACCUUUGGGUCUGCUGCCUCUGGGGGUCUGAGGAAUGGGAGGCCUAAGGUCCUUUAGGUACCUUUUUGUCCCUUCAGAGGAGCCAAUGCCCUUCUUGAGGUGGAGGGUGAAGAAAUCAAGGGGAGGCAGCCAUCUGGGGAGACGAUCCUGCCUUUAGCAGCUCACAUGAUGUAACACCCUCCCAGGGCAGCAUUUGCUGGUUUGGUUUUCCAUAACCAGGGUCUGACCUGUGGCCAGGAAGGCUGAGAAACUGUCCACCCAUUCUGCAGAGUGAAUCUACUUCCCAAGAGCAGAAUCACGCUAGCAAAGCUCAGGGUGUGUAAAACCAGAUGUCAGUUUAUCUGAGCAGCACAGACCUACUGGAGGGCGCCUGGGUGCCCAGCAAGCUCUUGGGUAGACAGCAAGCCUGGAACACUGAAGCCCCCUGAAAGAGUGCUUCUUCCAAAGGAAGUCAGGUAGACAAGGAGGAAGGGACCACCUGGGCCAUUUUCUCACCUGGCCCACACUGGCCUUGCUUUCAUGACUGAACCUCUAUUAAGAUUCAUGAGACAAGAAUGGCAGAUAAUAAACAUCAAAACUGUUCACUAAAGAUAUGAGACACUAACACACUACCAAACCCAGGGGAAAGGGUGACCAAGUGGAGAGAGGACUACCACCUCACAUCCACACAGAGCUCAGCUUGACUUCCACAGUGAGGGCUCCAGAAAACUCAGGGCUACAUGAAGAAUUCAGGGGUCAGUAACAAAGAAGACAGGGUCCAGAACAUGAUGGUAGUGGGUGGGAGUGGGGAAUGGUCUAGAUCUCCUUUGAGGGCCAUCUUCCUCUCCAUUCAGCACUAUCAAGAGUUCUUCAGGCUCUGGCUGCGGAGAUGCCUGGGCU